AUUGAACGCUGGCGGCAGGCUUAACACAUGCAAGUCGAGCGGAGAGAGGUAGCUUGCUACUGAUCUUAGCGGCGGACGGGUGAGUAAUGCUUAGGAAUCUGCCUAUUAGUGGGGGACAACAUUUCGAAAGGAAUGCUAAUACCGCAUACGUCCUACGGGAGAAAGCAGGGGAUCUCCGGACCUUGCGCUAAUAGAUGAGCCUAAGUCGGAUUAGCUAGUUGGUGGGGUAAAGGCCUACCAAGGCGACGAUCUGUAGCGGGUCUGAGAGGAUGCGCCGCCAAACUGGGACUGGAGCAAGGCCCAAGACUCUACGGGGGGGAGGAGGGGGGAAUUUGUGAACAAGGGAGCAAGCCUGAUCCAGCCAUGCCGCGUGUGAGAAGAAGGCCUUAUGGGUGUAAAGCAGUUUAAGCGAGGAGGAGGCUACUCUAGUUAAAACCUAGAGGUAGAGGACGUUACUCGAAGAAUAAGCACCGGCUAACUCUGUGCCAGCAGCCGCCGUAAUAC
rnacentral:rRNA from 1 species